AUGGCCGCCAAGCCCGUCCGGCCCAGCCAUGAAGCCGGUCUCUACUCCACAUCAGCCAUGGAUUCCCGCGCCCCGCAUCGCCUGUCUGGUGCCUCGCUUCCCGGCGCUGUCCCUGCCCAAGAGCUCCGUGUGGAAGCAGCUUCCUCCCUCCUCCUCCCCAACGGCGCCUCGCACGUCAACGUGCGGUCCCCAUGGAUGAAGACCACCGGCCCAUGCUUGACGGCGUCGCCAAGAGCAAGCCCGCUCCCGCCCCUGGAUCCCUCCUCCGACUUCCUCAAUCCUUCCGGAACAUCUCCCUUGCCGCCGCCGCCUCAUCGGUCAGAUCUCUCUCUCUCUCUCUCUCAGUGUCUGGUGAUGAUUGUUCUGUGA
rnacentral:rRNA from 1 species